rnacentral:rRNA from 1 species
GAUGAACGCUGGCGGCGUGCCUAAUACAUGCAAGUCGAGCGAACAGACGAGGAGCUUGCUCCUCUGACGUUAGCGGCGGACGGGUGAGUAACACGUGGAUAACCUACCUAUAAGACUGGGAUAACUUCGGGAAACCGGAGCUAAUACCGGAUAAUAUAUUGAACCGCAUGGUUCAAUAGUGAAAGACGGUUUUGCUGUCACUUAUAGAUGGAUCCGCGCCGCAUUAGCUAGUUGGUAAGGUAACGGCUUACCAAGGCGACGAUGCGUAGCCGACCUGAGAGUGUGGUCGGCCCCACUGGAACAGAGACACGGCCCACCCCCCUCGGGGAGGCCGCAGGAGGGAGUCUUCCGCAAUGGGCGAAGACCGACCGGAGCACCCCCGCGUGAGUAGAGAGGGUCUUGGGACCUUAAAACUUUUUUAUUGGGGAAAAAAAAAGGUUAAAGAAACUAUCCGCGUCUUCACGGUCCCUAAUAAGAAACCCACGCCUCACCACGCC